GUGCUUGCUUCAGCAGCACAUAUAUUAAAAUUGGAAUGAUACAGAGAAGAUAAACAUGGCCCCUGUGCAAGGAUGACACUCAAAUCUGUGAAUAAAUCAUUAGUAAU